rnacentral:rRNA from 1 species
GACGAACGCUGGCGGCGUGCUUAACACAUGCAAGUCGAGCGAAUGGAUUAAGAGCUUGCUCUUAUGAAGUUAGCGGCGGACGGGUGAGUAACACGUGGGUAACCUGCCCAUAAGACUGGGAUAACUCCGGGAAACCGGGGCUAAUACCGGAUAACAUUUUGAACCGCAUGGUUCGAAAUUGAAAGGCGGCUUCGGCUGUCACUUAUGGAUGGACCCGCGUCGCAUUAGCUAGUUGGUGAGGUAACGGCUCACCAAGGCAACGAUGCGUAGCCGACCUGAGAGGGUGAUCGGCCACACUGGGACUGCGACACGGCCCAGACUCCUACGGGAGGUAGCAGUAGGGAAUCUUCCGCAAUGGACGAAAGUCUGACGGAGCAACGCCGCGUGAGUGAUGAAGGCUUUCGGGUCGUAAAACUCUGUUGUUAGGGAAGAACAAGUGCUAGUUGAAUAAGCUGGCACCUUGACGGUACCUAACCAGAAAGCCACGGCUAACUACGUGCCAGCCGCCGCGGUAA